rnacentral:rRNA from 3 species
UUUCGCAAUGCCCGAAAGGGUGACGAAGCGACGCCGCGUGCGGGAAGAAGGCCUUCGGGUUGUAAACCGCUGUCGGGAGUUAAGAAAUGUAAGGAUGUUAAUAGCAUCUUUGCUUGACUAAGGCUCCGGAGGAAGCCACGGCUAACUCUGUGCCAGCAGCCGCGGUAAUACAGAGGCGGCAAGCGUUGUUCGGAAUUAUUGGGCGUAAAGAGCACGUAGGCGGCUAUGUAAGUCGGUUGUGAAAGCCUUCCGCUCAACGGGAGAACAGCAUCCGAUACUGCAUGGCUUGAGUGCGGGAGGGGAGAGUGGAACUUCUGGUGGAGCGGUGAAAUGCGUAGAUAUCAGAAGGAACGCCGGCGGCGAAAGCGGCUCUCUGGCCCAUAACUGACGCUGAGUGUGCGAAAGCUAGGGGAGCAAACGGGAUUAGAUACCCCGGUAGUCCUAGCCGUAAACGAUGGGCACUAAGUAGAGGGGUUUU